AGAGUUUGAUCCUGGCUCAGGAUGAACGCUAGCUACAGGCUUAACACAUGCAAGUCGAGGGGCAGCAUGGUCUUAGCUUGCUAAGGCCGAUGGCGACCGGCGCACGGGUGAGUAACGCGUAUCCAACCUGCCUUACACUCUUGGACAGCCUUCUGAAAGGGAGAUUAAUACAAGAUGUUAUCAUGAGUAAGCAUUUUCGCAUGAUUAAAGGUUUACCGGUGUAAGAUGGGGAUGCGUUCCAUUAGAUAGUAGGCGGGGUAACGGCCCACCUAGUCUUCGAUGGAUAGGGGUUCUGAGAGGAAGGUCCCCCACAUUGGAACUGAGACACGGUCCAAACUCCUACGGGAGGCAGCAGUGAGGAAUAUUGGUCAAUGGACGAGAGUCUGAACCAGCCAAGUAGCGUGAAGGAUGAAGGUUCUAUGGAUUGUAAACUUCUUUUAUACGGGAAUAAACGGAUCCACGUGUGGAUUUUUGCAUGUACCGUAUGAAUAAGGAUCGGCUAACUCCGUGCCAGCAGCCGCGGUAAUACGGAGGAUCCGAGCGUUAUCCGGAUUUAUUGGGUUUAAAGGGAGCGUAGAUGGGUUGUUAAGUCAGUUGUGAAAGUUUGCGGCUCAACCGUAAAAUUGCAAUUGAUACUGGCAGUCUUGAGUACAGUUGAGGUAGGCGGAAUUCGUGGUGUAGCGGUGAAAUGCUUAGAUAUCACGAAGAACUCCGAUUGCGAAGGCAGCUUACUAACCUGUAACUGACAUUGAUGCUCGAAAGUGUGGGUAUCAAACAGGAUUAGAUACCCUGGUAGUCCACACGGUAAACGAUGAAUACUCGCUGUAGGCGAUAUACAGUCUGCGGCCAAGCGAAAGCAUUAAGUAUUCCACCUGGGGAGUACGCCGGCAACGGUGAAACUCAAAGGAAUUGACGGGAGCCCGCACAAGCGGAGGAACAUGUGGUUUAAUUCGAUGAUACGCGAGGAACCUUACCCGGGCUUGAAUUGCAGAGGAAGGAUUUGGAGACAAUGACGCCCUUCGGGGUCUCUGUGAAGGUGCUGCAUGGUUGUCGUCAGCUCGUGCCGUGAGGUGUCGGCUUAAGUGCCAUAACGAGCGCAACCCCUCUCCUUAGUUGCCAUCAGGUUAAGCUGGGCACUCUGGGGACACUGCCACCGUAAGGUGUGAGGAAGGUGGGGAUGACGUCAAAUCAGCACGGCCCUUACGUCCGGGGCUACACACGUGUUACAAUGGCAGGUACAGAGAGACGGUUGUACGUAAGUACGAUCAAAUCCUUAAAGCCUGUCUCAGUUCGGACUGGGGUCUGCAACCCGACCCCACGAAGCUGGAUUCGCUAGUAAUCGCGCAUCAGCCAUGGCGCGGUGAAUACGUUCCCGGGCCUUGUACACACCGCCCGUCAAGCCAUGAAAGCCGGGGGCGCCUAAAGUCCGUGACCGUAAGGAGCGGCCUAGGGCGAAACUGGUAAUUGGGGCUAAGUCGUAACAAGGUA
rnacentral:rRNA from 1 species